rnacentral:rRNA from 1 species
GGAUUAGAUACCCUGGUAGUCCACGCCGUAAACGAUGUCUACUAGCCGUUGGGGAACUUGAUUCCUCAGUGGUGCAGCUAACGCAAUAAGUAGACCGCCUGGGGAGUACGGCCGCAAGGUUAAAACUCAAAUGAAUUGACGGGGGCCCGCACAAGCGGUGGAGCAUGUGGUUUAAUUCGAUGCAACGCGAAGAACCUUACCAGGUCUUGACAUCCUGCGAAUUUUCUAGAGAUAGAUUAGUGCCUUCGGGAGCGCAGUGACAGGUGCUGCAUGGCUGUCGUCAGCUCGUGCCG